AUUGAACGCUGGCGGCAUGCCUAACACAUGCAAGUCGAACGUGAAAGGGGGUAACCCUGAGUAAAGUGGCGGACUGGUGAGUAAUACGUAGGAAUCUGCCCUAAAGUGGGAGAUAACCACGCGAAAGCGUGGCUAAUACCGCAUAAUCUCUACGGAGUAAAGGCCCCAUGUCUUCGGAUGUGGGGUCGCUUUAGGAUGAGCCUACGGCGGAUUAGCUUGUUGGUAGGGUAAUGGCCUACCAAGGCGACGAUCCGUAGCUGGUUUGAGAGAACGACCAGCCACACUGGGACUGAGAUACGGCCCAGACUCCUACGGGAGGCAGCAGUGGGGAAUAUUGGACAAUGGGGGAAACCCUGAUUCAGCAAUGCCGCGUGUGCGAUGAAGGCCUGCGGGUUGUAAAGCACUUUCGGUGGGGAAGAAAUGCUCAGGGCUAAUAACUCUGAGAGUUGACAUUACCCACAGAAGAAGCACCGGCUAACUCUGUGCCAGCAGCCGCAGUAA
rnacentral:rRNA from 1 species